rnacentral:lncRNA from 1 species
ACUCAUAGAACCCUCUGGAGGAUAUAGUGGCCCAUGGAACUUGUUAGAACGAAGGACAAGAAACUGCAAACCAGGCAACACUCUCAACCAGAAAGGAAACGUGCCGUUGAACAUGUUGUCUUCAACGUUUACAAACUGGAGGUAAGUGCAAUUAAUCAGAGACUUGGGAAGUUCUCCUGAUAACUGGUUGUGACUAACAUCAAGUGAAACCAAGCCAACACUGAUAGAUUCUUCUGGAAAUUCACCAGAGAGGCUGUUAUUCUGAAGAUGCAAGACUGUAAGCUUAGUAUUGAAAUUCUCAAAACACCAAGGUAUAGAACCGCUGAAGUUGUUGUUGGAUAAAAUAAG